rnacentral:rRNA from 1 species
GACGAACGCUGGCGGCGUGCUUAACACAUGCAAGUCGAACGGAAAGGCCCUGCUUUUGUGGGGUGCUCGAGUGGCGAACGGGUGAGUAACACGUGAGUAACCUGCCCUUGACUUUGGGAUAACUUCAGGAAACUGGGGCUAAUACCGGAUAGGAGCUCCUGCUGCAAGGUGGGGGUUGGAAAGUUUCGGCGGUUGGGGAUGGACUCGCGGCUUAUCAGCUUGUUGGUGGGGUAGUGGCUUACCAAGGCUUUGACGGGUAGCCGGCCUGAGAGGGUGACCGGCCACAUUGGGACUGAGAUACGGCCCAGACUCCUACGGGAGGCGGCAGUGGGGAAUAUUGCACAAUGGGCGGAAGCCUGAUGCAGCAACGCCACGUGCGGGAUGACGGCCUUCGGGUUGUAAACCGCUUUCGCCUGUGACGAAGCGUGAGUGACGGUAAUGGGUAAAGAAGCACCGGCUAACUACGUG